AUACGUAGGGGGCGAGCGUUGUCCGGAAUGAUUGGGCGUAAAGGGCGCGUAGGCGGCCCGGUAAGUCUGGAGUGAAAGUCCUGUUUUUAAGAUGGGAAUUGCUUUGGAUACUGUCGGGCUUGAGUGCAGGAGAGGUAAGGGGAAUUCCCAGGGUAGCGGUGAAAUGCGUAGAGAUUGGGAGGAACACCAGUGGCGAAGGCGACUUACUGGACUGUAACUGACGCUGAGGCGCGAAAGUGUGGGGAGCAAACAGGAUUAGAUACCCUGGUAGUCCACACUGUAAACGAUGAAUGCUAGGUGUAGGGGGUAUCGACCCCUUCUGUGCCGCAGUCAACACAAUAAGCAUUCCGCCUGGGGAGUACGGCCGCGAGGUUGAAACUCAAAGGAAUUGACGGG
rnacentral:rRNA from 1 species